rnacentral:tRNA from 2 species
GCCGCGUUCGUCUAGGGGUUUAGGACGCUGCCCUUUCACGGCAGUAGCACGGGUUCGAAUCCCGUACGCGGUA